rnacentral:rRNA from 1 species
AUUGAACGCUGGCGGCGUGCUUAACACAUGCAAGUCGAUCGGUAACGCGGGGGCAACCCUGGCGACGAGAGGCGGACGGGUGAGGAACGCUUGGGAAUCUGCCUAUCAGCGGAGGACAACACGGGGAAACUCGUGCUAAUACCGCAUACGCUCUACGGAGGAAAGCCGGGGACCGCAAGGCCUGGCACUGAUAGAUGAGCCCAAGCCGGAUUAGCUAGUUGGCGGGGUAACGGCCCACCAAGGCGACGAUCCGUAGCUGGUCUGAGAGGACGAUCAGCCACACUGGGACUGAGACACGGCCCAGACGCCUACGGGAGGCAGCAGUGGGGAAUAUUGGACAAUGGGGGAAACCCUGAUCCAGCGACGCCGCGUGGGUGAAGAAGGCCUGCGGGUUGUAAAGCCCUUUCGGUAGGGACGAAAGCUCUCGACCUAACACGUCGGGAGGUUGACUUAACCUACAAAAGAAGCACCGGCUAACUCUGUGCCAGCCGCCGCCGUAACAC